AUGGCGUGGCCCUGCAUCAGCCGCCUCUGCUGCCUGGCGCGGCGCUGGAACCAGCUGGACCGCUCCGACGUGGCUGUGCCACUGACCCUGCACAGCUACUCCGAACUCGAGAGCGAGGAGCCGGGCCUGGGCGGUGCCACCUCACGCAGGGGCUCGUCCCCCGCAGGCUCGCGGGACCCCGGCCGGGACGUGCCGCUUACUCAGUACCAGCGGGACUUCGGCGUGUGGACGGCGCCCGCGAGGCCCAGAGAUGCAACACUGGGGCGCGGGUCGGGAGCGGGCGGCCGCAGGAUCAAGGCCCCCGCGCCCUACAGCCGGGGGGUCUACGUGCUCCCCGUCGGCGACGCAGAUGCGGCUGCAGCGGCGACCACAUCGUACAGACAGGAAUUCCAGGCUUGGACUGGAGUGAAGCCAUCGAGAUCCACAAAGGUGAAACCCGCCACAGUCAUCACAACCCACAGCUCUGGAUGGGACAGCAGCCCCGGGGCUGGCUUCCAGGUCCCUGAGGUGAGGAAGAAGUUCGCCCCUAACCCCUCAGCCAUCUUUCAGGCCUCAGCUCCCCGGAUCCUCAACGUGUGAUUGCCCACGGAGAGGAGCGAGCAGCCACAGAGGAUCAGAACCCACUGCCCGGGGACUGGUAAGAGGACUUCAAUGUGCCAUGGCUACUGCUGCUCUCCCUUGGAGGCUUGUAGAUUCUGAGAACGCUGACCCUGGGCUGCAGUCGCACUGCUGUCGUAUGUAGUAAUAUUUAACAGAACCCAUGAACUUCCUCUUUUACACUUACCCAUUUCCCCCCAACCCCGCUAGGAGCCUAGGGUAAAAGGACUGUCUUUGAAGCUAGUCUUGGGCUCAAAUCUUGGCUUUUCCAUUCACUAGCUGGGAGCAGUUUAAGCUUCUGUUUCCUUAUCUGCAAAGUAUGGGUAAUGCCACUCCCCUCCCCACCCCCCCUAGAGAACGUGUUUAUGUGCAGCGUGCUUAGCACAGUAAAUGGCUAAAUGGCCAACAAAGCACAGCUGCUGUACUUAUUCUCUCCUGCCCAAGCACCCCUUCCUGGGAGCCUGCUUUACUCCCAUCUGCAGCUUUGGUCCAUCUGAUGCCACUGACAGGCCCUCUCAGUAGCCCCUGCCUGUGUCACACCACAUAGCCAGCCAUGCCCAUCCCUCCCCCAGAGCCUGUCCCAAGAGCCCAUUCACUGAGCUGGGGGUAAAGCAGGCUGCCGCAGGCUGGCAGUGUUGGCACUGCAGCAGCGGUGGGAGCACCACUGCCUGAGAGAGGCCUGACCUCUGGAAGGCAUCCUGCACACCCAGGAACAAACAGCUUUUCAAAAACACCCCAACCCAACAGUCUUCCUUACUAGACUUCAUUAAUUAUUAGAUCUGGAUUCUGAAACAGCAGCUUCCUCCCACUAGGUCUUCAUAAGGCCUUAACACUGAGAUAAUAGCAGCCUCAGCCACGUGGUCCCAACUCACCUAGGUCAUAUGUAUGAUACAAACAGACGAAGACCGAAAGGAACGCACUGGAACACUGAUGGUGGCUAUCUUUGAGAAGGGGAACUAUGGAUAAUUAAAAAUUUUUUACACCUUACAGUAUUUGCUAAAAGUUUCUAUAUAAUUAGCAUUUUUAUAUUAAAUUAAAAAGCAGUUUAAUCUGCUUGUUAGGUAAUUUUAGCCAAAGGAAAGAGUUCAAAUUAAUUAUUCCAUGACCAAAGUUAGCGCUGCAGUAGCAGCCUUGACCAGCCGUGAGGAGGCCCAACCACAGGGAGGCCCCUGGGUCCUGUCACCCACAGUCAUUUAGACCAAGACUGAUGGCUCCGUAGUGAGUCAAACUCAGAAAAACCCAUUACAAACACUGAUACUUUCAUCCUUGUAAUAACUCCAGGAUUUUUGGCCAAACUCCAAAAAGCAGCUUUUGAGAGAACCUUGGCCAUGCAGCCCACCCUGGGCCAACGGGGGACCCUUUGAGCAGGAUCAGCUCUGCUGGCCUCACUCACACAGGCGCCUUCCGUCAGUUAAGAGGGAGUCCCCGAUUAAGGUCCUCCAGUUUCCGGCAGAGGUUGUCAGCAGAGGAGAAUGAUGAUGGGCACUCUAAAUGAGAGGUAAUCAGUCUUAUGACAGCUGUGGUGACAAAAGAAAGGGACUGUCCAUCUCCAAGGGACCGAUAGCCUGAGACCCAGAGAAGAAGGGGAGAAGACUCGUCUGUGUGAGGGUGGCUAUAAGGUCACCAAGGAAGAAGUCACUUCUACCACAAGGAAAGGAGUUAGAUCAAGAAGGUCUUCAAAGGAGAAAUGAUGCUGAGGAAGGGGGCUCCUGAAUGAACAGUGUGUUCCUGUUGCGUGUCACGGGCCAGAACAUUCCUGGCUGGGGCACAACACUUGGGACACUUGGGCACAAAUAGUUCUGUAGGGACCAUCCUGGGGGGUGGGCGGGACACCCAGGGUGGGCUCCUGUUCUCUAAGGCAGCUCUUGGGGUCCUCAGGUCCCUUCACCUCAGCUGAAGGAAAGAGCAUGGAAAACUGCUGGGGCUGACGUGGCCCGAAAACCAUGGAGGCUGACAGGUGACCACGUGCUCCAAGGAAACACCUCUCGGCUGCUGAUGGUGCCAGAGUCCCACCAGUGCUCACCUGGCUCGCUGUCAAUCUGGGUCAGCACAUCCUCGAUCGAGUCCCCGUCGCUCCUCAGGCUUUCGGGGUCAGGGGGGGUGUAGCCAUGGCAGCGACACCAGUGAGCAAUGUGCUUGGUUUUAAGCGGGGUCAGGUGAUGAAAUCUUGGAUUCUUUUCCAGUAUUUCUUGUAAGACUUUUCGCAUUGUCAUCGCUCUUUGCCACUUAAAAAAAUUGAGGGGGGAGGGGGAGAAUUCUUCAACUUAGCGUGUUCAAAUAAAUCACCCAACUCUAAACUA